GAAAAUAUAUAUUUAAUGAUUUAAAAACAAUUAAGUACCUAAAACGUUCAUUUGAAAGCAAAUUGUUGACAACUAAUACUAUUCAAAAAUAAUAAAUAAAAUAUUCUAUUUUCUCAUAAAAUAAAUUUUUAUAGAAAUAUUCGUAAAUAAUUUUUCCCACAUGAAAGUAAAGUAAAAAUUGUAUGAAUAGAAAUACAGAUAACCAAAAUAUAAGUUUUGAUCUGCAAUUACACGUGGGCUCCAAUUGACCAAGAUGAUGUAAGACUGUGAACUCUUACUUUCUAUAAUGCAGUUCCGAGCUUAGUUCUCGUCCUACUCGACUAUCUACAAACUGUCAUGAGCUUGAAAAAGGUAUAGGAAGAAGGGGUGAGAUUUUAUAAUCCCUGUGAGUAAACAGAUACCAUCUAAAGCAUCUAAAGCCGAGUAAAUGGAGACAAUUAAAAUAAGUCAUCAUAUUGUAAUUUCAUUACCUUUCAGUUCAUUUCAACCAAAUAAAAUCAAUCCAUAUAAAUCGAGUAAUCAACUUGGCUUAUGAAUUUCUUAAAAUUUUGGCUCGUGCCAAAACUCAUACUCGGUGAUACCUUGCGCAGGGCAUCCAACCGAGUCCGCCAAGGCUGUU
rnacentral:lncRNA from 1 species